AUAUAUAUAUAUAUAUAUGCCAUCAGUUUAAGAACAAUAAAAUAAACAAUUUACUUAGCAAAUGGUGAUAAUGUUUGUUAAUGAAAGAGAGUACGGGACAAAUUAACAUUUAAACCUUAAACUAGCAGCGCACGUCACUUUCUGAAUGAGGUGCGCGACGUGCGCGUGCCCGUCAUUUUGUAACGGUCAACUUCCAGCGGACGGACACGGAGGAAAGGUAAGUCCUAUAAAUCUACUUUUAUUCAUAGAUUUUAACUGAUAUAACGUUAAAUGCCAUCAAAGAGGAGUAGUGUUUUGUAUUUUUGUAGGUUUUCUCUUUCAAUUUAAUAAAUAAAUGCUCUGUUUGGUUAAUUAGCUCAAAAGCAGUCUCAGAGGUGGUCUAAGGUAACGGUAACUGUUAAAAUCGAAUAUAACCUUACCUAGUUUAAAUUAUUUGAAAUUUAUCACUAUAAACUAUACAGUGUUAACUUUCUAAUAAUUUAAUUUUUAACCGUAGUAACGUUAAUUAGUUUGUUUGAAUGCCUGCUGCUCGAGCUUGAUGAUGCUCAUGCUAUCCAUGCUGUGAACUUGAAUAUAAACCGAUAGAACGUUAAAUAUAAAGUUUAACGUUAAUUAGACCGAGGCUGCCGAAAUCAUGUUCAGUGUAACGUUAUGUGGGAUUAAUAAUUUCCCCUUUUCUCCCUCAAGUGGCAGGCUUGUAAAUUCUGUCAUCUGUUCAUUAUUGGUGUUGAUGGUGUUUUUCACAUGCAUGCUUUUUAAUGCUAGUUUAAUUCUCAAAUUGAUCUGAUACUUUCGUUCCACAAAAAGUAAACACAUUUUUCACUUUCUUAGGGCCUGACAACCACCAGUUGAGUCCAUGAUUCAGGGAAGAGACAGUCUGGGCAGCAGCAACAAGACAACUAUUACAAGUAGAGAUGGGUUUCAAGAACUGACACAACCACAUAUCCUCCAAAUCAUCUCUGCGUGGAUGGCAGCAAGGAUCCAGGAUCAAGAGAUCAUUCAUCAUGGAGACUGUUCCACAGGAAGCAGUUUCUCCUGGGUGAAAAACUAAACCUGGUUGUUUCAGCAUCACUCAGGCAAGACUUAAUACUUUUAAAUUGAUUUCAGUUGGUUAUGUGUUUCAGGUCAUCCUGACCAUUCUGCUGUUCUGGAUGUAAGGCCGUGCUGCAACUACAUUUCUCGUGGUUGAAAGAUUUGUGGAGCGGUAUCCAGACAUAUAACGCCCCAUCACACGGGGCGUCAACGCCUCUCGUUUACUUUUAAAUGAAGUGACGUCAAGCAUGGUGAAAUUAAUUCUAGAAAUUAAUUCUAAAUAGAAGUUGAAGACUUCUCAAGCGCCAAUGCAGCCGUCCUCCAGUCAGAACAUCCUAUGCAAAUACCCUAGCGCAGACGCAAGCCAAUCGAGUGCAUGCAAUACCAGAAAACUAAUGUGAUUGGCUGUCACUAUGAGAAGAGACAGUAAUUCUGAUCCGAUAUCAGUGUCGUUUUUUGCAAAAAAAAAUUUAAAUCAAUGUAGAAUUUUCUAUACUUCUGUGUAGGGAUGUCAAUUUUCAAUCAUUUCCAUGAUCGAUCGUUGUUUAAAUUAAUGAACAAAUAAUCGAUUAAUCGUUAACCUUAUAUAUAAUAUAAUAUAUAUAUAUAUAUAAAACUGUAAAUAUAUAUAUUUUACAGUAAAGACCAAAAGUUUGGACACACCUUCUCAUUCAAAGAGUUUUCUUUAUUUUCAUGACUAUGAAAAUUGUAGAGUCACACUGAAGGCAUCAAGGGCUAUUUGGCCAAGAAGGAGAGUGAUGAUGACCUGGCCUCCACAGUCACCGGACCUGAACCCAAUCCAGAUGGUUUAGGGGUGAGCUGGACCGCAGACAGAAGGACAAAGGGCCAACAAGUGCUAAGCAUCUCUCGGGGAACUCCUUCAAGACUGUUGGAAGACCAUUUCAGAUUUGAGGGAAAGAUUAAAAACAAGGAGGUCUGGGAAUGACUGAAGGGAUCUGACAGCAGUGAGGGAAGGAAGUUAUCACCAGAAUCCUUGGUGAGUAGAAGAGACUUCUCUUGAAAACCAUAAAGAAAAGAUUCCAGGAUGAAGAGGAGGAGGAAGAACACGUUUAACAAUUUUCUAUAAGCUUGCCAUUAGUUAUAAUAAAAACAAUGAACAUGACUACAAUAAUAUGCUAAAUGUUAUUAAAAGAUUCCAGUUUGCAAGAAGUCUGAGUGUCUGACUCUACACUAGAGGAACUCUUUUCUGAAGAAGAUCAGGUGCUGAGAAGAAGCCUUGUUCUACAGCAAAACACUGCAUCAAACCUCCUGUCCUUCCCUCAGAAGAGCCUGUCUUCUGCUGCUGGGGUAAGAAACACCCUCUUCCUCUUCUCUAUCAGCUGUCCAGCACCUAACUCUGCCUCCUCAGCACUGUCUGAAAGAGUCAUCUCCACAGUCAGUAAUCACAGAUUCUUCUGAGAAAGUCGAUAUGUUCAUUUUCUUAAAAAACUUUGUUUUUUCGGGUGGGACAAAUAAUACAGGAGAGAUGCUAGAAAUCUCUAUAUUGUUCAUUUUUCAUAUCUUUACGCUUUAUGAAUGUUUUUCUUCUGAGAAGCUCAAAAAUUAUGGUUCUUUGGUAAUUGCUUUAUUGUUUAGGUUUAUCCUCUGAUAGUGAGCACAGAGCCCUGAUCAUGACAUGCAAGAAAAAGAAAGAAAUCAUGUCCAUGAUUUACUAAUUCAUUCCCUCUAUGUACUAAAACGUGCACGAUUACUUUUACAUUUCAUUGAUUUGCUAAAUCGUAUGCACAAUUUACUAAUUCGUUCUCUUGAUGUAUAAAUAGUGUACACGUUUUAGCAAAUCGAGGGAAUGAAAUAUAAAAUCGUGCGCAUGAAUUAGCCUAAAUUUUUUCCUGCAUGUCGUGUAAUUAAAGCACAUCACCACCAGACAUUUAUACCAGGAGCCUCAUAUACGACGCUCACAGUUUUACUUUGUGCAGUAUCUCUGUGCAGUAUCUGCUGAAUUGUUUCAUAUCUAUUUAUCAUGUAUUUUUCGUUGCACUAAAUUAUGUUGUAUCAAUAAGUUUACUGAUAAUUAUUUUUAAUUUUCACUAAUAACGUCAUUAACCAUCUCCCCAUCUUUAAGACAAAAAUUCUCUAUUGUUUAUAUUGUGUAAUCUAUGAAUUGAUGUGUUUAGUUUUCUGUGCUCAUAACUUAGUAACAUUUUGCAUGGUUAAAGAACAGGUGCGAUGUUCAAAAUGUUUUUAUACAAAGUAGUGCUGAAUAAAUAUUGAUUUGUGAAUGAA